rnacentral:tRNA from 1 species
GCCCCGAUAGCUCAAUUUGGAUAGAGUGAUGGGCUUCGAACCCAAAGGUUGCAGGUUCAAGUCCUGCUCGGGGCG